rnacentral:rRNA from 1 species
GAUGAACGCUGGCGGCGUGCCUAAUACAUGCAAGUCGAGCGAACGGACGAGAAGCUUGCUUCUCUGAUGUUAGCGGCGGACGGGUGAGUAACACGUGGAUAACCUCCCUAUCAGACUGGGAUAACUUCGGGAAACCGGAGCUAAUACCGGAUAAUCUUUUGAACCGCAUGGUUCAAAAGUGAAAGACGGUCUUGCUGUCACUUAUAGCUGGAUCCGCGCUGCAUGAGCUAGUUGGUAAGGUAACGGCUUACCAAGGCAACGAUGCAUAGCCGACCUGAGAGGGUGAUCGGCCACCCUGGAACUGAGACACGGUCCAGACUCCUACGGGAGGCAGCAGUAGCGAAUCUUCCGCAAUAGGCGAAAGCCUGACGGAGCAACGCCGCGCGAGUGGUGAAGGUCUUCCGAUCGUAAUACUCUGUUAUUAGGUAUGAACAUAUGUGUAAGUAACUGUGCACAUCGUGACGGUACCUAAUCAGAAAGCCCCGGCUAACUACGUG